CAGUCGCCGCGGGAAUACGAAGGGGGCUAGCGUUACUCGGAAUUACUGAGCGUAAAGGGCGCGUAGGCGGCGCUCCAAGUUAGGCGUGAAAGUCCUGGGCUCAACCUGGGAACUGCGCUUAAGACUGGAGUGCUUGAGGAUGGAAGAGGGUUGUGGAAUUCCCAGUGUAGAGGUGAAAUUCGUAGAUAUUGGGAAGAACACCGGUGGCGAAGGCGGCAACCUGGUCCAUUACUGACGCUGAGGCGCGACAGCGUGGGGAGCAAACAGGAUUAGAUACCCGAGUAGUCCCUGUCUCUUAUAC
rnacentral:rRNA from 1 species